rnacentral:lncRNA from 1 species
GCAUUAGAAGUUGCUGCUGAAGUUGCUCACGAAGUUAUUGCCGAAGUCGAUCUUGCUGAAGCUUCUCCAGUUCUGAUCGAAGCUCUUUCUACUUUAGUAGGAACUCUUCCUGCUCUGAUUGAGGACCUAUAGGCUGAUUCAUCUGAUGACUGCUAAGUCCAAAGAUCAAUUCUAAAGCUUUAUCCACUAAGUAGUCAUUGUAGUUCGUCUUUCUUUUUGUUUUUAUCCUAAUCUGUCUGUCCAGUUUUGUAACAAAAGACUUUACAAUGGAAUGAAAUAUUUUUUUCGAAAAAUUUUUAUUAGAUGCCUCUUUUUUUUACCUUUCCUCAUUUCUCUAUAUUGUCCUCAUGCUUGUUUUAUGUGCACAGC